rnacentral:rRNA from 2 species
UUUGAUCUGGCUCAGGAUGAACGCUGGCGGCGUGCCUAAUACAUGCAAGUCGAGCGAACAGAUAAGGAGCUUGCUCCUUUGAAGUUAGCGGCGGACGGGUGAGUAACACGUGGGUAACCUACCUAUAAGACUGGGAUAACUUCGGGAAACCGGAGCUAAUACCGGAUAACAUUUAGAACCGCAUGGUUCUAAAGUGAAAGAUGGUUUUGCUAUCACUUAUAGAUGGACCCGCGCCGUAUUAGCUAGUUGGUAAGGUAACGGCUUACCAAGGCGACGAUACGUAGCCGACCUGAGAGGGUGAUCGGCCACACUGGAACUGAGACACGGUCCAGACUCCUACGGGAGGCAGCAGUAGGGAAUCUUCCGCAAUGGGCGAAAGCCUGACGGAGCAACGCCGCGUGAGUGAUGAAGGGUUUCGGCUCGUAAAACUCUGUUAUUAGGGAAGAACAAAUGUGUAAGUAACUGUGCACAUCUUGACGGUACCUAAUCAGAAAGCCACGGCUAACUACGUGCCAGCAGCCGCGGUAAUACGUAGGUGGCAAGCGUUAUCCGGAAUUAUUGGGCGUAAAGCGCGCGUAGGCGGUUUCUUAAGUCUGAUGUGAAAGCCCACGGCUCAACCGUGGAGGGUCAUUGGAAACUGGGAAACUUGAGUGCAGAAGAGGAAAGUGGAAUUCCAUGUGUAGCGGUGAAAUGCGCAGAGAUAUGGAGGAACACCAGUGGCGAAGGCGACUUUCUGGUCUGUAACUGACGCUGAUGUGCGAAAGCGUGGGGAUCAAACAGGAUUAGAUACCCUGGUAGUCCACGCCGUAAACGAUGAGUGCUAAGUGUUAGGGGGUUUCCGCCCCUUAGUGCUGCAGCUAACGCAUAAGCACUCCGCCUGGGAGAC